rnacentral:lncRNA from 1 species
CCAGUACUUAAACUGACAAAAUGGAAUAAACAAUCAAGACCUGGCUCAAGGCUAACCCCUCCACACUCAGGGUCAGGAACGGGAACGGGAGAAUGAGUAGGACAGGCUCGAGGUCAAUUCUUUCUUUUAGGAGAGAUCUCACCCCCUUCUUUAGCGCUUGUUCGUUCUAUAAGACUUCCUUCUUGUUCUCGGUGAAGGAAU